rnacentral:rRNA from 1 species
AGAGACAGCAGCAGCCGCGGGAAUACGUAGGUCCCGAGCGUUGUCCGGAUUUAUUGGGCGUAAAGCGAGCGCAGGCGGUUAGAUAAGUCUGAAGUUAAAGGCUGUGGCUUAACCAUAGUACGCUUUGGGAACUGUUUAACUUGAGUGCAAGAGGGGAGAGUGGAAUUCCAUGUGUAGCGGUGAAAUGCGUAGAUAUAUGGAGGAACACCGGUGGCGAAAGCGGCUCUCUGGCUUGUAACUGACGCUGAGGCUCGAAAGCGUGGGGCGCAAACAGGAUUAGAUACCCCCGUAGUCCCUGUCUCUUAUACA